UGUGCAGACACGGUGCAGACUAGGUGGCCCGUCUAACAAGACAGGUUGGAGUGGGAAGAGGUGACACAGCCAAGCAGAGGAGCCCGCAGCCCCGCUGUGGGUUAGCCUCUCCCUACUCAGUUGGACAAUACGGGUCUAGGAGUAAGAAGCAGUUUGUUCCGCUUCCCACCCACACAGUUCACCUCCAGUAUCCAGCGGACUUCUGGAACUCCACCCUCAGCCCACAGAUACCCAGGCAAGGUUGAGUACAGGCUCUGGAGACUGACUGCCUGAUUUAGGGUCCCGAUGCUCCCACCCAGCAGCUGUGUGUCCUUGGACUACUCCCUGAGCCUCAGUCUCCUACUCUGUAAAGUGGGGUGUAGACUAUUUCAUCUGGUUGCUGUGAAGACAGUUAAGUGUCUGCAGACAAGAUCUGGCUCCAAGGGGAGUGCUGGGUAAGAUGCUAGCUUUUCUCCACCUUCCAAGCCUGCUCUGCACUGCCUUGCCACCAGCCAGCAGCCGGGCCUGACUCUUGCCUCUGCUACGCCCCACACACCCUUUGGUCUGGAGGAUGGCACAACACCCAGCUUCAUCACAUUAAGCCUCAGAGAUCUACUGUGUGAUGGGGAAACUGAGGCACGAAAAGAGAGGAGCUGGCCAAAAGCCAAAGAGGAAAGAGGAUCCUGGCUCCUGACUUCCAAUGCAACCUGAGCCUCAGAGAGGAAGUGGAUGUCUGCACCAGGCCUGUCUCCAGGACCUGCAGGAAGUUGGCCGCGUCGAUGUCCAGCCCGUAGAGAUCCCGAAGCCACUCAGCCAGGUCCUCCUUCAUGGCUUCCAGGCAUCAAGACCGUGAUUCUUAUGUCCAUUUCAUGGAUGAGGGAACAAGAAAAUUGAAGAGGGCAGAAGGCCUUGCUUCCUUCCGAUGCAGACCUCUCCAUAGGGUUCUUGGGUGUCCUGGCCAAGUGGCAUCCAGUCUUCCCCAGGGUGAGAGAGCAAGACAGAAGCCACGCUGUCAUCAUUACCCAGCCUGGUAAGUCACACUGUCAUAUCCACAAUAUCCUAUUGUCACCAAGGUCGGCCUCACUUCACGAGGGAGGGCAGUACAAACACGAAUACUGGGAGCCAGGGAUCACUGGGAGCUUUCCUAUCCCAGUACAGAAGAGCUAGUUCUUUUUUCUUGCAAGCUAAUAAAAUCCUAUUACGUUCAGGUAGUAGGAUGAGCUUCCCUGAAACUGGGGAAGAUGGGCCCAGCCCCAGAAGAGGAACUGCGAUAGGUUCAUGUCAAUCACAGCAGAGCUAAGGUUGAGGUUUCUGUUGAGCCUCCAAGAUGCUGUGGAAGCAGCAAACCAAAAAAGGAACAAGACUAUGCAGACUUUAUGGAAGCAGUAUCCAAAAGCCGUCACUUGACGCUCAGGUCUCUCUCCCACUGGAGUACGUCAAGAGUUAGGUUGUUGCAGGGCAGGAGAGGACUUAGAAUUGUAGCUGUGCUGUGCCUCUCAUGACAGGCCAAAUGAUGGCCCCAGAGACAGCUGCGUCCUAAUGCCCAGAACCCAUGAAUGGCACCUUAUGUGGCAAAAGGGACUUUGCAGAUGUGGUUAAGGAUCUCAAGAUGGGGAGAUACUCCAGAUUGUCCAGGUGGACCUUAAAUGUAAUCACAGGUGUGGGGCAGAGGGUGGUCUGACCACGGAUUAGGAGAUGUGACAGCUGAAGCAGACUGAGUGCGCCACGAGCCAGGCACCCUGCAGCCUCUAGAAGUUGGAAGAAACAAGGAGCAGAUUCUCCCGUGGAGUCUCCAGAAAGAGCCAGCCCUGCCAAUACCUCGAUUUUAUUCCUGUGAGGUUCAUUUCAGACUUCUGACCUUUAGAACUGCAAAAGAAAAACUGUUGUUUUAAGCCGCUGCAUUUGGUGGUAAUUUGUUACAGCACCAAUAGGAAACUAAUGCCUGUCACCAUCUCUCUCCUCUCCCACCAAACAAGGGGAGAAGCGGGGAGAGGCGCUUCAACGGGACCUAUCAUAGAACUAGACGUUUAUCCCCAAUCACUAGGGAGACUCAGUGACCUGAAGUCUGACUCCUGUGUGGGACAUCGAAAAUGCAGACUGUAGGCUGGCUAGCUGCUCCAUAGUGGGGACUAAAGAGAGGGCUGCCCUGGAAUCAGGAAGCAGUCUUCUCAUAGGGGGAACAGAGGAUGGGUGAGUGCUCCUGUGUGCCACUCGGCCAGGGACAGGGUCAGUAGAGGGGAAGACCUCAGUAGAGGGGGAGCUGGCAGUGGACCAGUAAAUUCCUAGGUGUGCAGGGUGGGGGGGAUGAGUGACCCCUAGAAUCUAGUUUAUCCUCCUAGAUCCAAGGGCUGCCUGGAUUGGGGCAGGAAAAGCAAACACCAGUGGUUGGUCAGUGGGGAAGGAAGGAGAGGCAGAGCAAGAGGGAGGAAGGACCCGACGGUGUCUUCCACCUGUCAUCCCAUCACAUUGUUGCUACCAGUCAUGGAAGGCCCCAACCUUCCAUGGAGAUGUAACAUUGUAUCAACUUUCAGUGACUACAGUGACUGCUUUUCCAUGGCCUGAGAGUUCUCUGAACAAGUCAUAAGACCUGUCUGAACUGUCCUUAAGGGACAAGGGAAAGAAGCUUUCUUCCCCUUGAGCAGGUUUAAGGGGACCAUUGGAGGCAAAAAAAAAAAAAAAAAAGAGGUUGUUUUAUAGCUAUACUCCAAGAGUCCUACAGGUACCAAUUACAGCCAAGCUAGGUCAAUCUUGGCCAUCCUAUUUCUUUUCUCAGAGGGUUGGUUUAGGAUGGGUGUGUAUCUCGUGUCUAUCCAGUGAGUCUCAAAGAGAAGUCUGCUGGAGGGCUUCUAAGAAGUCCCUGGACUGCAGAGACUUUCUGCUUUGGUCAUGGUUGCACCAGGACAUGAUGCUUGGAGCUGCAGCAGCUAUUUUGCAACCAAGAAGAAAGACAAAGAAGGCAGAAGGGAAAUAUGAAGAGAUGCCUGGGUCCCUAACAACCUCUUCAAUCUGAACCAAUCCUGGAGCCUCCAACCUCAGACUUCUUAAGUGAACUAAUACAUUUUAUAAGGUUUCAGCCAUUAUUAUUGGGCCACUCUCAUAUUCCAGCAACUAAAUAUA